rfam:Hordeum vulgare subsp. vulgare, WGS project CAJW01000000 data, contig: morex_contig_59186
UACAUGCUCCCUCCGUCCGAAAUUAUUUGUGACACAAAUUGAUAAAGAUGGAUGUAUCUAAAACUGAAAUACGUCUAGAUACAUUCAUUUCUAUGACAAGCAUUUUCGGACGGAGGGAGUAAAAA